GACAGGAAAUGACAGCGCAUCGGCCUCCCCUCGCAGAGGGAGCGAGCCUCCGAGAGGGGAGAAGUCCUUCCUAAUCACAGAGCAGUGCCAGAGCGCAGUAGGAAUGGUGGCUGCUACAUGCAGUUUUAGAUCAAUCUACUAUAGUCAUGCUGCCCUGAGACCCAGAUAAUUCCUCUGUGAACUCUGGACACUCCGAAGCACCUUCAUGUUCACACAUUUGGAGAGCCUGUCAGCCUCUUGGGCCUCCAGUCUGCAUCUCUACUGAUCAUCCCAUUCUAUCCAUUACUCCUGGGAUGAGAGAAGCCUCCUUGCGAAGUCGGAAGAGGAGAAAGACUGUGGAUAAUCAUACUUUUAAUUUUUUAUCUCCAUCAGAGUAAAUAACUUUCUAAAAUACAUGAAUAUGAUCCUAUGAAUCUUUCUAAUCUGAAAGCAAUGCUGAGAGUCUAGUCAUUGGCAUAUAUUGCUGUGGCAAAUUUAUUUUUUUCAAAUAUACUAUUUGCUGUCAAGCCCACUGGCAGCAUGAUAGAAUGAUUACUUUAUUGUUAUUUGUUGUUUUUAAAUUACUAUAGCAAUCUACAUUAAGAAACCUACCGAAGCCUAUAUUUCUCUUUUUAUUGAACCAUCAGAAGGGAUUGAAAUUAAUUUCAAAUCAUUUCUUAAAAAGAACAUUCAAUGCUUCCUUGUUAUUCACUACUUGGUUGACAAAGACAAAUUCUGUUUUGAAAUACUGUGUGACAUUACUUGGUACUGUUUUCCUAUCAAGAAAAAGUGCACCUAUUUUUCUGUUUAAUGAACUAAGAUAACUGAAGGCUAUAGCACUCGAUACAUCUUGUGGCUUUUAUGAU
ensembl:lncRNA